rnacentral:rRNA from 1 species
GCGAACGCUGGCGGCAGGCCUAACACAUGCAAGUCGAGCGGCCCUUCGGGGCAGCGGCGGACGGGUGAGUAACGCGUGGGAACGUGCCCUUUGGUACGGAACAACUGAGGGAAACUUCAGCUAAUACCGUAUGUGCCCUACGGGGGAAAGAUUUAUCGCCAUUGGAGCGGCCCGCGUUAGAUUAGCUAGUUGGUAGGGUGAUGGCCUACCAAGGCGACGAUCUAUAGCUGGUCUGAGAGGAUGAUCAGCCACACUGGGACUGAGACACGGCCCAGACUCCUACGGGAGGCAGCAGUGGGGAAUCUUGCGCAAUGGGCGAAAGCCUGACGCAGCCAUGCCGCGUGAGUGAUGAAGGCCUUAGGGUUGUAAAGCUCUUUUACCCGGGAUGAUAAUGACAGUACCGGGAGAAUAAGCCCCGGCUAACUCCGUGCCAGCAGCCGCAGUAACAC